GACGGAGGGGGCGCUGAGAAAGCGGGAAGGGGUACGGAAAAUGAGGAGUGCGCAGACUCAGAAGGGACCUGUCCCUUUUUUUUCACCACUCCGCCUCCCUCCCCCGGCAAGAAUGACAAAAAGAAACUAAUAGAAAUAUGGGAAGUCUUCUAUGAAUUUAGGUCAAGAAAAGUUUAUCACAGACAUCAAGAUCAAACCUUAAACAAAAGCAGAUCCACUCCAUGCAUGAAGUUUGAGAAAUCAGCCUUUUCCAGUGUAGUCAUUCAAAAAACACACUUCAUUGCAGCUACUCCAUGUUGGCUCUGAGUUCAUUCCUCAAAAUACCUCUCUGCAGUAAUCAAAAAGCAGUUGUUAAAUAAAAAUAAAAUUAUCUCUCA
rnacentral:lncRNA from 1 species